rnacentral:RNase_P_RNA from 1 species
GAAGUCGGCCAGACCGCCGCUGGUGCAAUCGCUGAAAGGCCGCACUGGAGGAAGGUCCGGACUGCACAGGGCAGCGUAGGAGGUAACACCUCUCCACCGCAAGGUGAGGAUCAGAGCAACAGAGACGAGCCGAUUCAGUUCGGGUGAAACGGGCAAUCUCUACGCGCAGCAACACCAAAUAGGCACACAUUGAGCGGCAUGGCUUGCCAUGCCGUUCUACCCCUGGCCCGGGGGCUGUGUGCGGGUAGGUGGCAUCGAGCCGUUCUGGCGACAGGCGGCCCAGAGGAAUGGCGGUCACGGUUCAGUGUCGCGAGACACGGAGCUGCACAGAAUCCGGCCUAUCGGCUGACUUCACAC